UCUACCACAUAAAUAUCUGUUCAUGUGUCUUUUAUUUGCACCACAUAUAUAUAUUAUUGCAAGACAUUUUUAGAAAUGAUGAUGUUUCUAGAAUUAAAUAAAUUUCUUUUUUCUUAUUUAAUAAUAUUAUAUAAUGGUAUCAUCCCUAAAUUAUUUUUCUUAAGUCCCACUUAUAAUAAUAAUUAUUAUUAAGAAAUACAGUUUGAGAGGGGUAAUCUUAUAAUAAAUUUAAUAAAUUUAUUAUUUAUUUCUUAAACUCCGUAUUCGAUUAAAUGGUGACACACGAAAGAAACAAGAGAGAAAUUAUUUCUCUAGCACAUAAAUAAAUGUCUAUGUGUCUUCUAUUUGUACCACACAUAUCCAUUAUUACAAGACAUUUCUAGAAAUGAGAGAUGAUGAUAUUUGUAGAAAUAUAAUUAAAUAUUUUAAAAAAUAAAUUAAUGAUUCAAAUAAAUAAGAGCAGAGACUCUUCAUUUUACUCACCUCCUUGAUCUUUCCUCUUUGAUAUGUUUCUCUACUUCUUUCUUAUAUUUUUAUCUUUUUCUUUCAUAAAUAAUAUAUAAUUUUUCUUACUAUUAAUUUAUUUUAAAAUGAAGUGUUAUGUUUGAUUGAUUAUCAUAAUUCUUCUAUUUUUUGACACAAUAUGAAUAUUGUUUUAAUAUAUAUUAGUAUUCUCUGUAGCGCAAAAGUCAAUUUAUUUAUGCAUGUAGCUUAUAAGUGUGACUAUCAUUGCAACAAUUGAUACACGGUGCUUUGAUACACGGUGCUAUAUUUUUGAGGCAUGUGUUCUUUUCAUCCAUGACAGAUUUAGGCCAAGGUGACUAAGUACGGUUGUACAAAUAUAACAAAUAGUAAAAUGCACGGUGCUAUUGUUUGUUUUGAUAAUAGUACACAAUGUCAGACUCAAAGUCCAAUUCAAGCAAGCUGCUUGAUUUGACUUCAAUACUGUACUAUAUAGUGGAUUCUACAUAUUCCAGUCCAUUUUCAAUCUUAUGUGGAAUUUGACCUGUUGUGAGUUGCAUAUACAAAACCUCUGCUUAAGAUAAUAGUAUUAUCGAUAAACCCCUAUGAUCUCUCUAUCUCCCUAAUUUCUUAAUAAAAGCAUUCUUUUGCUUCAAAUCUAGAACUUUUAAAUGGCAAAUUUAGCAAUAGGAUUGCCAUUUGAUUUCUCGGACUAUCCUGACUUACUCAUAUGAUUUCUUGUUUAGGUGUGAUCACUCUGCAUACAGACAAUCAAGUAGAAAGGUAUUUGAUCGUGCAUGUUCAAGAGGUUGAUCACAACAAUAAAAAUGCCUCUUCUGUUGUAAAAUUUAUAAAUAUUAUCUAUACCUAUGUAAAUAAACAACAGUCACUAUGAUAUGUGAAUGCCAUUUUAAUAUUCAGUAGUGUGGUAUUCCCAUAAUUAUAUAAAAUAUACUUUUGGGAUUU